ensembl:lncRNA
GCGGUUGUUGAAAAGCUAACCGGGUCGAAUGCUUAUUAACUUACUCGUGAAUUUCUUUAGCUAAAAAAAACUCAUGGGCUUAUAGUUUAAGUACAAAUAGUUUAACACUUGAGGCUUGACAAUGGUUUCCACGAGCUGUUGUUUCCUAAUGUUGCGGUUUGUUGACAUUUUUACGCUUUCACCGUUGGAUAGCAUACAGAUGCUACCGUUGAGCUAGCACCAUUAGCCUCCUAAUAGAUGACCAUGAUUUUCAUCAAGACAAUCCGUAUUAGUUAAUAGCUCGUUGUGCAUCGUUAGCUCAUCCUUCCAAAGUGUAUCCGUUCAUCAACUGCCUGAAAUAUUCAUCUCCAAGAGACCCAGCUGUCGGAUGUAAUGGAGACCGUAACAAAGACCGCCAUGUACGAGGUCACGAGGUUGGUUGAGGAGGGCUUCUUGGAGGAGAUGCAGCGCAGGAACCAGGAGCUGGAGUCCCUGAGGAUGCAGCUGCGACGGGCUGAGACGAAACUAAGUGACCAAGUGGGGAAAGACGCAAGAACAACCGGGAGGUGCGUUGGGUGUUCAAAGGGUGAUGUGCCACUGCGCGGUGGUGAUCCUGCAGAAGGAAGCCCCACAGAACAGCCAGCUGAUAUCUUCAGGGCCUGCGUGAUCAAAGAAGAAGGUGACUCUAUGGAAAGGUGGUCAAUGUGCUGCGCACAGGAAGUCAUACCAGAGUCGGA